rnacentral:rRNA from 1 species
AGAAAAUAGAUACCCAGGUAGUCCACGCCCUAAACGAUGUCAACUAGUUGUCGGGUCUUAAUUGACUUGGUAAACGCAGCUAAACGCGUGAAGUUGACCGCCUGGGGAGUACGGUCGCAAGAUUAAAACUCAAAGGAAUUGACGGGGACCCGCACAAGCGGUGGAUGAUGUGGAUUAAUUCGAUGCAACGCGAAAAACCUUACCUACCCUUGACAUGUCAGGAAUCCUGCAGAGAUGUGGGAGUGCCCGAAAGGGAACCUGAGCACAGGUGCUGCAUGGCUGUCGUCAGCUCGUGUCGUGAGAUGUUGGGUUAAGUCCCGCAACGAGCGCAACCCUUGUCAUUAGUUGCUACGAAAGGGCACUCUAAUGAGACUGCCGGUGACAAACCGGAGGAAGGUGGGGAUGACGUCAAGUCCUCAUGGCCCUUAUGGGUAGGGCUUCACACGUCAUACAAUGGUACAUACAGAGGGUCUGCCAACCCGGCGAGGGGGUAGCUAAUCCCAGAAAGUGUAUCGUAGUCCGGAUUGGAGUCUGCAACUC